rnacentral:rRNA from 1 species
UACGUAGGGUGCGAGCGUAAUCGGAAUUACUGGGCGUAAAGCGUGCGCAGGCGGUUUUGUAAGCCGGAUGUGAAAUCCCCGGGCUUAACCUGGGAAUGGCAUUCGGGACUGCAAGGCUGGAGUGCGGCAGAGGAGACUGGAAUUCCUGGUGUAGCAGUGAAAUGCGUAGAUAUCAGGAGGAACACCGAUGGCGAAGGCAGGUCUCUGGGCUGACACUGACGCUCAUGCACGAAAGCGUGGGG